GUCUACGGCCAUACCAGCCUGAACGCGCCCGAUCUCGUCUGAUCUCAGAAGCUAAACAGGGUCGGGCCUGGUUAGUACUUGGAUGGGAGAGUCCAGCUGUGGGCA
ensembl:rRNA 5S_rRNA 5S ribosomal RNA